GGCAUAGCUUGUUGGGCAACUUGGCAAGAAAUGGAAUGAGUUUGUACUCUAUACAAGAUCAUGUAUUCAGAGUGUCCUACAAACCCACCAGUGGGAAAAAAUAUGUUGGGAGUUUUCCAGAACAUUAGGGGAAAGGAAGCAACAUUCUUUCGAACAAGUGGGCCUCAGUGCUGGGCACAGGGUUUGGUUGCUUCUGUAAAUCCUGAAGAUGGGUGCUGAGCUGAAGGGCCCUGUCCUCUGCUCUCUUCAGACUUUUUUCAGCUCCCGCAAAGGACUCUGGCUAGGCUGGGGAGGAGAGGGGCAAGCACCCCAGAAGGAGGUGGCAUUCCUGCUGUGUGCGCUGAGCUGCCCUUUGAUUGACUGCGAAGGGGAGAUGGAAUAGAGCAACGCUCUCACAAGGGGGAGACUCCUGUCUGGGGGAAGAGACAUUCUUGUAAGAAUGGUGGGUGUGUUGCACACACACCCAGAUACACUCACGCCUUCUCCAAGAGCCUAGUUAUUACCUGGGCAGCACGGCCAAGCACGUGUGACACUGGUUGACAACGGGACCCGCCUCUGCUUUCCGGGCUGUGGCAGCACCGACACGUUUCCCGCGCAUGCCCUUUGGGUGCAUGGACAGGGAGGUCCCCCGUAUGCGUAGCGUAGCACAUGGCUUUCUACAGAAAUAGUGAACUCCAGCGACAGUGGGUGGCUCCCAGGUACACAUCCCCUCGUGGGACCUUGAAGGGGCCAAGUGGUGGGGUCCAGAGCUUCCUGAAAUGUUGCUGUGUCUCCCAAGUAGGCCUGUGCUCCUUCCUCUGCUUCCUUUCCUCCCCUCUUCCUUUCUCAGAUAUUUGCAAGCCUCAGGCUCCAUCAUAGUCACGCUAAGCCAGCAGUCAUUAUGCGGGUGAUAAGCUAAACAUUUUUUAACGUGGGUUCAAAAAAAUCCCCACACUUUCGGAACUUAGUGUGAGGUACCAAUUUGGUUUCUAGGACAAAGCAGGCAUUAAUUAACAUCUGUGUGGAGCUGGCUGUACAUCUCAUUUUUUCCUGGCUCGCUUGCCCAGCCCUGGAGCAUGUCACGUUGUCACUCUCAUUCUCCACCACUCCUCUGUGGCCUUCCUUUCAAGUUCUCUGGGGUCUUCCUCGCUCGACAGGGAGUCGCACUCGAAAAACCCCAACCGUGAAUGCUUCUUUUGGGGGCAGAUCCUCGCCGCCGCCCGGCUGUGGUCUGGGCGGCUCUGCUGCGAGCACGCGGCGCGGGUUGCCCAUGAACUGUUCCUUCUUGCUGGAUCCGGUCCUCCCGGCCUCGCCUCUGUCCGGCCAGCACUUCAUUCUGGAUGCCCCCCGACCCUCUGCAAACAUUUCCAGAGGAAUCCGAGGCCUCCAACUUGUUUCCUUUCUCCUCCUCUGCCCCCUCUCCCUCGCCCCGCUGCCGCUGCUCCCUGCUCCCUGCAGACGGAAAUCUGCACGGCAGAGUCUGCCUACACUUGGCCUCCUGAUCCUUUUCAUCACAAUGAGGGCUGAUGGGAAUGAAGUGGGGGCUUUCGAGGGAGGCAGCCGUCCUGCAGCGGUGGGCGAGCUACGGGGGCGGGGAAAUUACCGGCUCUUAGCUCCUAGUUAUCACCGGGCUUUGAUGCAAAGAAAUCGCCGCCAAUCUCUCUCCUCCUAGCCAGCUAGGGGGCAUUUUUCAGUCGUUUUCUCCCCAUCCUCACCCAGAGAAGGCACUGCACAGACAAUGCCACCUCACCUUGGAGACCUGUUGGGUGGCUCAGCCAGGGACAGCGAUAGCACGGCAGCCCUACAGGAAACCGGCCAGGGAUCCAGGCUGUGAUGAGUCUGUGCAACAGAUGUGCCAGUCUUUCUAGGCUCUGCUCUCCUCUCUUCAUUCGUGUCCAGCGCUACCCAAGGUGAAACCAGCCCAGACCCUCCAGCCCUUGAGCAGGGCUCUUUUGCUCCCUUUGACACCCCCUUCUACCCCCCCACCCCCAAUUCCUCCCAUCCCCCCUGCUAAUCCACCUCUUGGCUUUGGGCACACAUCCGCCAGCCCCGUCGCCCUCAAAUUUGUGGCACUCCAAGAAAUCAAUACGACAUGAAUUUAAUGACAGCUGGAUGAUUAAGUGUUAUUUAUAUUUAAGAGCGGCAUUUUGAAAAGACGGCGCACUAAUAAAUCAAACGGCUGUUUGGGAGAUGCACAUGAUUAGGGUAAUUGCCCUAUGGGUUCUAUUGAGCAAGACUUGGUCCACAUGGAGCCCUGUAGAGGCUUUGUCUGCUGCAGCCUUCCAGUUGUGGCAGGAACGUGGAGUCGGCCGGGAGACGGAAGGGGGCUCUGCUGCUAAGUGACAGACUUUUAUUCUAUACAUUACUUAUUGACUUCUCUGCACUGAAGCGAGUGAAGCUUCCGCCAGACUCGAGGCGGCUGGAAGGACACACUUGGACUUCCUCGCCUCCCCUCGGGGCAGCGUCAGGAGUGGCGGCCAUCCCUGGCCCGCGAGGACCCAUGGCCGCAGGUGUCGGUGAGACCUCAGGCAUCCUCGAGCCGCCGGCCGAGCUUGGCUGUCCCCCGCCCUCUCGACGGCGCCUUCCCCAUCAACCAGGAUUCGCAACGGCAAAUUGGAUUUUGGUAUGUUUUGUCACUCCAACACAAAACAGAUCACUAGCUAAGAGGAUAUCGUCUCCGCAGUCGAUGUGCUGAACACAGACGAGCUGAAUCAAUCCCCGAGGUCUUCCAGGGAAGCGGAUUUUCCCUGGGAAGCACGAGGAGAGGAGCCGUGGCGGAAGAGGUCAGUGGCAGUAUAGAUGGGGAAACCGUAGCUGCCCAAAGGCUCCCCUGGUCUUAACUUGUGGUCAGAUUCCCAUUUGACAUUGAAUUUGUCUGCCCGGCUGUGUUCCCGUCUGGGUAGUGUGGGGUCAGGAGCCAGAGGACGAACACACCACUCCUUGGCUUUGGCCCAGUGGUCAAGAGGCGAGACGGGAAGCCGAGUGAGGGGCACGAGUGUCCCUCUGGUGGAGGGAACGGACGACGAGAGGAGGGCCUGGCGGGGCGGCAGCUCCCAGGAUGUGCCAUGGAAACAGCCCGCGUGGAAUAUCAGCUCACUUGGUAGAGGUGGUUAGAGUGGAUUUUUCUUCCUCUCCAUCUCAGACCUGCUUCGUGAAGGUAACACCUAAAAUAGAGCAGCAUCUCACAGAGCAUAUUCUGUGAAGAGGUGUUACCCCGACGCAAAGUUUCUACCGCUGAGAAGUUUGAGAAACCCUGAGUGUACAGCAAAUCGGGAGAGGGUCUUUGUUGCAGGACUUCUCAGAGCCUUUAAGCACACGACCACGGACGGAUUAAAAACCACAAAAGUAGGUAUACUGUGUAGUGGCUCUGGGAAUCCCCCGAGAAACACUGGACUAAAACAAGCACUUUCAUUUGCCUUCUCUCCACUGUGAAUGAAGAGGUGGACUCUGCAAUAGAAGUUUCAGCCAAACUUUCACACAAAGGACAAGGUUCUGGUGAUUACAUGGAUACUGGGGUUUCAAGCAGAAUGUUACCAGGUGGGCAGACAGCGCAACUCCAGACUCAGUGUUUGCCCUUGUCCUUCUAAGGCAGCCAAGAGGUUCUCAGACAGGACUGAGAUCCAGGCAAGUGGGUAUUUUCUUAGGUUCCUGGACGAUGCUGGUUUGUCCCCCUGGUUAAAAAGCACUGGUGUUGUGGGAAGAGCUGGCUUUCGGAGGCAGAUGUAGAUGAUCCCAGCUCUGUCGCUUACCAGCUAAGGGGUCUUGGGAAACACCAUUUAUAACAUGAGGGAAUUGGUCUAGAUUAGUGAUUUUUAAAAUAUUUUAAUAUGUAUGCAGGGGCGUUCCCUCUUCAAAAUGCAGUUUUGGAGUUCCCGUCAUGGCUCAGAGGAAAUGAAUCUGACUAGCAUCCAUAAGGAUGCAGGCUCGAUCCCUGGCCUCUCUCAGUGGGUUAAGGAUCCGGUGAUGCCGUGAGCUGUGGUGUAGGUCGCAGAUGUGGCUUGGAUCUGGUGUUGCUGUGGCUGUGGCAUAGGCUGGCAGCUAUAGCUCCGAUUCGACCCCUAGCCUGAGAACCUCCAUUUAUCAUAGGUGCGGCCCUAAAACGCAAGAAGAAAGAGAAAAAAA
rnacentral:lncRNA from 1 species